AUGUAUAUGAGGCAAGUUAUUAGCAAUGUUUCACAUUUUCUUACUUGCAAUAUUGUGCUUGCCUAUUCAGGUGUUCCAAGACCCAAAUCAUCAGAAAAACAACACAUACAACACUUUUUUAUUUUGAACUUUGGUUACCCUUAUACAAGCCCCUGUUCAUUUUGUUUAUAUAGUGGUCAGAAUAGUAACUAUAUGUGCUUGCUCAAUACUGAUAAAUGGAAUAUUUUCGAAGCACGUAUGGUGUGCGUCUGUUCGCAAUUUGGCGCAACGAGAGAUUACUAA
rnacentral:rRNA from 1 species